AUACUUACCUGGCAGGAGAGAUACCAUGAUCACGAAGGUGGUUUUCCCAUGGUGAUGCUGUUCCAUUACAUUCCGUAUAUACUAAACUCCUGUGAUUUCCCCGAAUGUGGGAAGUUCAGCUAUAUAAUUUGUGGUAGUGAGGGAUUGCGUUCAUGCUCUUCCCUG